ACUCCUACGGGAGGCAGCGGUGGGGAAUUUUGGACAAUGGGGGAAACCCUGAUCCAGCCAUUCCGCGUGUGCGAUGAAGGCCUUCGGGUUGUAAAGCACUUUUGGCAGGAAGGAAAUCGCAUCAAUUAAUACUUGGUGUGGAUGACGGUACCUGCAGAAUAAGCACCGGCUAACUACGUGCCAGCAGCCGCGGUAAUAC
rnacentral:rRNA from 1 species